UACGUAGGGUGCAAGCGUUGUCCGGAAUUAUUGGGCGUAAAGAGCUCGUAGGCGGUUUGUCGCGUCUGCUGUGAAAACUCGGGGCUUAACUCCGGGCCUGCAGUGGGUACGGGCAGACUAGAGUGCGGUAGGGGAGACUGGAAUUCCUGGUGUAGCGGUGAAAUGCGCAGAUAUCAGGAGGAACACCGGUGGCGAAGGCGGGUCUCUGGACAGUUCCUGACGCUGAGGCACGAAGGUCAGGGAGCAAACGGG
rnacentral:rRNA from 1 species